GAAGAAAGCUCUGGGGCCUGGUACGAAAUGAAAUUGUCGUGUGUGUCAGUGACUGUGCUGUUAGGUGUUAAGGGGGAGGCUUCAGGAGUGGUGAACAGGUCUGCAGGGGUCUCUCUGUCUCUCCCUCUUAUCUCCUCAUUGCCUCUCAAUUUCUCUCUGUUUCUAUCCAAUAAUAAGUAAAUACAGAUUAAGAAACCAAACAAAUGGGAGUCGGGCGGUAGCGCAGCGGAUUAAGCGCACGUGGCGCAAAGCACAAGGACCCGGCCUAAGGAUCCCGGUUCAAGCCCCCAGCUCCCCACCUGCAGGGGAGUCGCUUCCCAGGCGGUGAAGCAGGUCUGCAGGUGUCUGUCUUUCUCUCCCCCUCUCUGUCUUCCCCUCCUCUCUCCAUUUCUCUCUGUCCUGUCCAACAACAAUGACAUCAGUAACAAUAACUAGAGACAAGUUCUGUGCACUGUGUGGUGCGUCUUCCCCAAGUUUGCAGCUGCUUCAGUGCUUUGAAAACCACUGGCAUGAAAACACACAGAUCCUCAAGAAUUCCAAACACGAGGCUGAGUGCAGCCCUUAGUAACUCCUGACAUAUUCCCAGGGAACAGGUUUUGAAACCACGGGGUGACACACAAGCUGGCCGGCCGGGCUGUCUCAGCAACUACUGACGCUCACUGGCGCGCUCACUCACGCCUCUGCUCCCAGACCUGGGGGCCAGGCGGCGGCGCGUCUGUUCAGCACACACGUGAACGUUUUCCAGAAGAGCAAACAGAGGCUGACCCCCCGCUUGGGGGUCUUCUACAGGACAGCUGUCAGGUUCUAGAUGCUACCAUGAUGCCAAUGGGACUUCUCUGGGCAGACGACCCCACCAGUGUGUCCUGGAGCUCCGCUUCCCCAGAGCCCCGCCCCACUAGGGAAAGAGAGAGGCAGGCUGGGAGUAUGGAUCCACCUGCCAACACCCAUGUUCAGUGGGGAAGCAAUGACAGAAGCCAGACCUUCC